AUGGUCUCCGGUCGGUGGGCUCCUCCACGCCAAGCUUGGGCCUCCCGGCGACCGCUGCAGGCCCAAGUUGUCCUGAAGUCGGCCUCUCCUGGCCCUGCCUCCCAGCAAGUAAGCAAGCUCUUUUGGCUCAACUCCUGCCCAGCUCCCAACCGCCUUUCUAGGCCCCGAACUUUCUCCAGCCAAGCUCUGAGGGCCCACCUCCUGCCUCCUGGUGGCCUGUACAGGCCCAGCACUGGUUGGAGAACAGCCUCUGCAGGCCCCGCCCUUGCCUACCAGGGGCCUCUCCAGGCGCAGCUCUUGCCCCCACGGCGGCCUCCCGGGGCCAAGUCCCUGCCUGCCUCCCAGCAGCCCACGUGCGGCCCAGCUCCUCUCUCACGGUGGCCUGUUGAUGCCCACCCUCCCACGCGGACAGAGGUCAGCCUGAGCCCCUUGCCUCACACCGGCCCCUCCCACGCGGACAGAGGUCAGCCUGAGCCCCUUGCCUCACACCGGCCCCUCCCACGCUGA
rnacentral:lncRNA from 1 species